AGAUUGAUCAUGGCUCAGAAUCAACGCUGGCGGCGUGCCUCAGACAUGCAAGUCGAACGAUUAAAGCCCUCUUCGGAGGGUGUAUAAAGUGGCGCACGGGUGAGUAACACGUAAGUAAUCUACCCUCGGGUGGGGAAUAACAACCGGAAACGGUUGCUAAUACCGCAUAAUGCAGCGGCUCCUUAUGGAGACAGUUGUUAAAGGAUUUAUUCGCCUGAGGAGGAGCUUGCGGCAAAUUAGCUAGUUGGUAAGGUAAUGGCUUACCAAGGCUACGAUCUGUAGCCGGUCUAAGAGGACGGUCGGUCACACUGACACUGAAUAACGGGUCAGACUCCUACGGGAGGCAGCAGUCGGGAAUUUUGGGCAAUGGGCGAAAGCCUGACCCAGCAACGCCGCGUGAAGGAUGAAGUAUUUCGGUAUGUAAACUUCGAAAGAAUAGGAAGAAUUAAUGACGGUACUAUUUAUAAGGUCCGGCUAACUACGUGCCAGCAGCCGCGGUAAUACGUAGGGACCAAGCGUUGUUCGGAUUUACUGGGCGUAAAGGGCGCGUAGGCGGCAUGACAAGUCACUUGUGAAAUCUCUGGGCUUAACUCAGAACGGCCAAGUGAUACUGUCGCGCUAGAGUGCAGAAAGGGCAAUCGGAAUUCUUGGUGUAGCGGUGGAAUGCGUAGAUAUCAAGAGGAACACCUGAGGCGAAGGCGGGUUGCUAGGCUGACACUGACGCUGAGGCGCGAAAGCCAGGGGA
rnacentral:rRNA from 1 species